rnacentral:rRNA from 1 species
UACGUAGGGUGCAAGCGUUGUCCGGAAUUAUUGGGCGUAAAGAGCUUGUAGGCGGUCUGUCGCGUCUGCUGUGAAAAUCCGGGGCUCAACCCCGGACUUGCAGUGGGUACGGGCAGACUAGAGUGUGGUAGGGGAGACUGGAAUUCCUGGUGUAGCGGUGAAAUGCGCAGAUAUCAGGAGGAACACCAAUGGCGAAGGCGACUCUGGGACG